UGACAGCCCCGGCCGGGGCUGCAAUCAAUGAAGGGGUGGGACCGCGCGGCCGGGUCCCCUCCACCAGCUGAGGAGGGUUUGCUGGGAGGCGGGAGCUCCCACUCGCACGCCGGAGCGCUGCCGGGGGAGGAGGGGAGCCCAGGGCUGCUCGCCAGUGAGAGGAGCCGGCCCCCACCAGCGCCCUGCCCGCCUUUCCGGGGGCCAGCCAGCCCGGGGCGAGCGGCGCGGAGCAGGGGCUGGCCGGGUGCCUGCAGGCUGGAGCCGCCGCUGAAGAAGCCGGGUCAGCGCCUCGACGGGAGGGAAGGGCCGGGUAACCCGUUACGCUAACAGCCCACGGCGCGUUCUCUGUAAAGGAACAACAAGCGUCGCUUUCUGGGCGCGUUCAGGAAGGCGGCCGGGCGCUGCGGGGAGACGUCUCUGGGAACACGGGGAUCGGGGCUCGCUGUUCGGUACCAGCUGGGCCAGCUUUGCACCGGCAGGGGGCUGGUGUUUGUUCUCCUCGGGCUGGUAACAUGGAGCAGCUGAUCUGACCAGCGGAGCCGUCCCAGCGUUGCCCAGAAUGGGCUGUGUGUGUUGCAAAGAGAAGGGGUCAAAAAAAGCCCAGACGGAGACCAUCGAUGGCACGACCAGCCUGGCAUCGAAAUCCUGCUACGACCCCGACCUAUCCCA